CUCUGCUGAGGUGUGUGCUGCCCGCCCUCGAGUACCCAUACCCAAUUAGUCCGUAUCUUUCCAAACCCUUGAGCUGGCACCGUCUCUGCCACUCCUUUCAUUCUGCAGUUGACUAGGGAGGCAUCUUCAGAAUCCUCAAGGUUGGCAGUGAUCUGGGCAUGGGAAUCUUACAUAAUGGCUGGGCUUUGUCCCAGCAAUACCAGAGAAGCCAGUUGCCCUCUGCUGAAAUGUGCCUGGCACUUUGUGACCAGUAGCACUUUCUCUAAAAUGGCCCUCCCACUUCUCAACCCAAAAGCUGUAGCAGAAUUUACUGAGGAUGUGCAGUGCCAGCUCCAAGAGAGAGCCACUGGAAACCUUCAUUUCAGACGCUGCGGGCUUCGGAUUGAGGGUGUGGACCCUAACAUAUGGUGCAUUGCCCAGGAUGUACCCCAAGACUCCUGACACAUGGGUGGUUUGAAAAUCCAGCUGGCCGGGAAGUUGGUUUUGCUGCAUCAUCAUCUGAAGGGACAGCCCACUGCCAGUGCCUCUUAGCAGGAAUGCAGUGGUAGCCCCAUCGCCACUCUUCGUCACUGCUCAAUUCCUCUACUUAGAUUUCUUCUUUCUGAUGCCUCCGCAGCCCAGGUUCUCUCAUCUUUCUCCCUGAGUGACAGCUCUUUUUACCCCCUAUCCCCCAACAUCCUGUUUCUACAUGAGAGUAGUGAACUAAGUUUGGCCCUAAAUAUUUAUACAUUUGGCUUCACAUGUAUGUAGUGACCCUCUUUCCGCUGUCACAUGACCUGUUACAAUUUUCAUGUGGUAUGAAAACUGGAGAUUUAACAACCACAGAAAUGGGGGAACCUGACCCAGAGGCAGGUGGUCAGAAGACACUAGAAUUUAUGUCCUUGAUCAAACAAGGACUAAAUCCAAGAGCAGAAAGAAUGUCCCUGCAGACAACAAAGAUCCUUUACUAAGCUUUUUAACCUUAAAGAAAAGUCCAGAAAACCAAAGUUUUCAUAUGUAAUUUGUGUCUUUCCCUGAAAAACAGUGACGGAACGAGUCAAAUCAUGAGCAGAAGGUGGAUCCAAACACACAUCAAAGUGUGGGUUGCUCAGCUGAGCUUUUCAACAUUAAAGGAAAAUCCAGAAAAAUAGCUUUCAUAUACUAAUUACACUUUCCCUCCACUGAACACUGAACUCACAAAAUGAAUGUACAAGGAAAUAUUGGAAUGUUUUGACUUUAAGCUGCCAUUAUGGAUAGACAUAUUUCUUCUCUAUACUAAUGAAGAAACAGCAUUCAAACACAAUUGAUAAUAUUUCUGUUCCAUUUUUCAAACUGACUUGACAGGAAUGUGUCUCUAAAAGAUCUUUCUGGAAGCUGAAGGAUUUAAGCUGGCUGUUAGACAAGGAUUCCUGGUAAACUAUGUGAGAGCUCCUUUAACCCAGGGAAAGGCUCUGUAAGUGCGGCAGUGCUGGCUUGACAGCCGAGUGCAGCCUCGAUAUGACUGCUUCCGCCACUCACACCACCAAAGGCCUCAGAGAGCUUCUCUCUAAUCCUGUUGCAUGUCUCUGCUGUGAAACUGGAGGUGCUACUAACCUCUUUGAUGGGAUGGCUAUGAGAAUUACAUUAAAUUAUUGUAUAAUAAAAGGAAAUAAUAAUAGAAAUAAUAGGUAAUAAUCACUAAAGUAUAGUUAUUAGCAAGUGCCAGGUAGAGUUCACAAAUAAUCUUAAUUCAAUAUUCACAGUGAGCCUAUAAAUGACAUGCAAUUACUUGCUGUAUUUCACAGGUGCCACUGAAUAUGAAAGAGAAGGGGGUUGAGGUCACAUACAAGUGUUCUAACACAGUAUGUGACUUACUGUUAUUCUAACUACUACUAUUCAUCAUUUGUUAAUGCAUUCCCAGGACCGCACACAAGUCUAAGCUAAGCAUUUAUUAAGUAUCUCUUAACUAGAGAAUUUUUUUUUUUUUUUGGUUUUUCAAGACAGCGUUUCUCUGUGUACCUCUGGCUGUCCUGACUCUGCAGACCAAGCUGGCCUCAAACUCACAGAAAUCCACCUGCCUCUGCCUUCCUGAGUGCUGGGAUUAAAGACAUGUGCCACCACUGCCUGGCAACUCAAGAACACUCCUUAGAGCUCUGACAGGCAAAAGGUUAAAAAAUAAAUAAGUCAACUAAGUAAAUUUUAUUAACAUUCACAAUACCAAGAAGCAUGUUUGUCCUAUUUUAUUAAAUUUGUUUUUAUAUGUUUGAAUAAACUGAAAGUUUAGGUAAAGUACACUCUACUAUUCAUAAAUAUCACAAGAAAACUAUAGGCCAAUAUUGUUUAUGCAUACACAUGAGAAAAAAAACUCAACAAAGUACUAGAAAAAAAUCCAGCAACACAUAAAAUGAAUCAUACACUGGGACCAAGUGGGAUUUACCCCAGAAUUGCAGUGUUGUUUAGCAGCUAAAAGUCGAUGUGACCAUCAUGAGUAGCCUCCAAGAUAUGACAUGUAUCAUUUUGUUAUUCUACUAAGAAGCAGAUCUGAAACACACAACAGGAGGCCUAGGUGAGUGUAAGAGCCCAUCAUAAAGAUGAGCUGGGCUUGUGUGCCAGAGGAGAGGCAGGGUGUGUCUUUGCUAGGAUGUAAUAGAGGGAAAGACUUCUAGUGAAAAGUUAGUCACUGGAACUACAGCAGUCACCAUGAACUUACUAAACUACAAAAGGACUAGACACCAAGUAUACUGCACAGAACGUGACUCUCUGAAAACUUAGAAGACAAUAAAUUAGAAAAAUCAGCAAGCAGUGCAAUCUUUCAAAUUCUAGUUGACCUUUAUCUGCUGUAGUUUUUCUAAGUUGUUGUAUGUUCAUGAUUUCUUAUUUGUCUUCAAUUUUAAAAACCGGUUAUAUUUUUGCACUUUCUAGUAUAUGCAAGCAGCUGAAAGUCAAACCUACCAUAAUAAGAGGAUUCAAAAUGGGCAUGCAGAAAAUAUGAAAGUAUUUUGCAUUGUAACAUUAACUUAACCACAAUACAGAGUAAAUAUUAUGUUCUUUCCAUCAUAAGAGUAAACUAAUGGCUCAGAAACAAGAUGUGGGAGCUGACUAAAUUAGUGUUUCUAUGGAAGCGUAUUUUCAAUUUCCUGACCCUUAAGGUUGAUUUCAACACUUCAACACUACAGUAUGCAAUGUUUUCCUUUCUGCUUUUCUUUAGUAUAAUAGAAAUGUUUUAUGCAAAUCAAAGUUAGUAAAGGCUCUGAAACCAGGAAAAAAAGGUGGGGAAAAACUAUAUUCUCUCUUAAAAAGUGCAGUCAUAUGUCAUCUAUGGUUCAUUCCAUAACCCAAGUCCUCAUCUGACUUGUCUUUAUUUUUUCCCAACAGUUUGCUGGCAGAUUCACAAACUCCAAAUAAAUAGAAUUUUUCCACUAUCUAAUUCAGCAUUUGGCAGGAAAACUCAAUGAUGAAUCUAUUCUGCCUCAGAAAAAAAAUGUUUUCUUUUACACAUUUCUGUCACUCCACAGUCAAGUACAUAGACUAGAGAAAUAAUGCAAAUUUACUAUAAGGAGUAUUUCCACAGUAUUUCUCAGGGAUAAGUAAAACACAAAUUAAAUCUCAAUAUCUGAAAUGUUAAACAGUUAAAUAGUCAGCUUUUUCCACCAUGUACCAUGUUGGACAUGUUCCAGUCCAUCUAAGAAGAAAUAAUGUAACCUUUAUCACUAUGAAGAGGAUAUUUCAUUGUAUAUACAUAUAUAUAUAUAUAUAUGUAUGUAUAUAUAUAUAUAUGUAUAUAUCAUGAACCAAGAAAAACCCCUCAUAAUAUAAGAUGAUGCUAGGCACUCACAGCUGCACUUACCCUAUUACUUGAUCUUUUUCAAAUUUUUUAAUUAUUUAAAAGAAUUUCAAAUAUAAGUGCUAUAUUUACAUCAUUUCAGUCCCCAGCUCCUGAGUCCCCAACUUUCUCUCAAAUUCACGAACCCUUUAAUUAUUACUAUUUAUAUAUACAUUUGUAUAUAAAUACAAACUGUAUUAGAGUUGCUCAUAUGCAUGUGUGUUUAGGGCUGACCACAGGAUUGAAUAAUCAGGGGUCUCCUCUCAGCAGCCAUUAAUUGCCUAUAGCUCUUCAUCUAGAAGUAAUGUCUUGAACACCUCCCCCCGCACCCCGCAUCACAUUGGCAUGUUAACUAGUGUUGCCAUUGUACUGGCUACCAUACACUUUCUGUCAUAGGACUUGAGGGAGUCGAGCUGGAACUGACCUGGAAGCAUGCUCCCUAAAAACAAACUCUCAUAGCAGCUGAAGGUGCUAUGUAAGCUGCCAAUGGAGAGAAGCAGUCAGUAGUCUAACCCAGCUAAAAAACCUGUGAACCACAACAACGAACACCACAGCAAGACAUCCCCAAGGGUGCAACAGUGGUACUUACAUCUUAGGGACAACCAACAUCCUCCUAAUUGGACUUAAGGACUACUCAAAAACAGAAAUUCACUCCUAGCACUGUAUACCUAGCCAAUUACCCAUGACUGGUGAGAUUCUAGUGUCCAGAAGAGGAUGCACUACUGCCACUUUGCUAAAGCAGUCUGAUUUCCAACUACAUUCUUUUUUUUAAAAGAUUUAUUUAUUUAUUAUGUAUACAGUGUUCUGUCUGCAUAUACACCUGCAGGUCAGAAGAGGGCACCAGAUCUCUUUAUGGAUGGUUGUGAGCCACCAUGUGGUUGCUGGGAAUUGAACUCAUGACCUCUGGAAGAACAGCCAGUGCUCUUAACCUCUGAGCCAUCUCUCCAGCCCCUCCAACUACAUUCUUAAUAUCACUUUAUGCCCAUAGAUAAGUGCAGUUCUCACCCCUCACUAAGAAGUUUCUUUCAGCAGCAGCUGGAGAAUGUUACAGAAAUCCUCAAUUGAUCAAAAUGCCCAGAACAACUGACCAUGGGACGGCCAGCCCCAACUGCUACACCUACAAUACAACCCCUACAUGCAGGGCUCAGAAGACAUCACAGAAGGAGUGGAGAGACUGUCAGAGUCAGUGGACUAUGACACCUGCUGGGAGAGCCUGUCUUCUGUAUCUAACAAGGAAGCUGCACCCAUGAAACUUGGUUCCUUUUUGAGGCAUGAAUGUGUCACAAACCACACAAACUUUUAACCAGCUAAUGUGCAGGACAUAUAGAGUAAAACAAGCAAUAAUUGGAUUAUUUCCCCACUAUUAGCUGCUAAUUGAAGCAGCUAGCUUUCAAGACAAAAGCAAGGAAUUACAUGAGUCAGAUAUGGUAUCUGGCCUCCAAAAUGAUUCUCAAAGAUUCCAGUCUUAAUCAUAGACAGAUAUAUAAAUUAUGAUAGAUAGAUAGAUAGAUAGAUAGAUAGAUAGAUAGAUAGAUAGAUAGAUGAGAGAGACACAGAAAGAGAGAUUGAAAAGGUUAAUCUGUAUGGUCAAUGGAAUAGUAAAUAUAUUUUUUAAAAGAAUAGGAAGUAAGUGGUAGCAUGUCAUUGUUGAGAUUACAUUAUAACUAUUAUCUCUGUUUCUUUCUUGUCCUUGCUUUGGGAGAAGUCAGGGGCCCUGCCAUAAAAAACAGUGUAGGAAGGCAAAGAACUGAAGUCUUCACUAAAGACACUAAGUUAGUUUAGGAGUCGAUCCUUCAGACCUAAUAAGGUCUCUGAAGACCAUAGCCUGUCUGACUCCUUGAGUACAACCUCAAGAAGAUGGUGAAACAGAGCCAUUCAGCUAAGCCAUCCCUAGAUGCCUCAAUCACAGGAAUGGAGAUAGCAAACUCUUAGUGCUUAAAUCUACUAAGACUGGAGGGAACUUGUCUCACAGCAACAAAUACACCUGGGGAACUGUCUUGCAACUAAGAGGAGCAGGCUGCAGAUCAAAGAGAAUUGUGAGGACCACAGAAAAAUCCACAUUACAUAUUUUUUUAAAAAGGCCACUAUUUGAUAGAGAGCAAGGAGGGAAUAGAGAGCAAGAAGAGGAUAGAAAGAAGAGAGGGGAUAGAGGGCAAGGUGUAUGGGAAAGUUCGGAAGGAGGUAAGGGGUCAUUGAAAUUAUGUAAUUAUAUUAUAAUAUCAAAAAGUAAAAGAAAUAAUUUUCAAAAACCCAAAUGACAACUUCUGGCAUAUUCUACCUCUAGUUCUCUUCAGUUACCUGAGGGGGAAAAUGCCUUAAAUUGUAGCCUGACCUUUUUUAGAUUCUUCAAUUCCUCAUGUAUUUACCACAAAAAGCCAUUUAUUAAAUAUUACCACUUGGUUGAAUUUAUAAGUGUACCAGUCAGAACUCCUUAUGAGUAAGUGCCUGGCUUCCUCCCAGGAGAUAAGCUGUGACAAAGAAGUAACAACAGGAAAAGAAGGUGACUUUGUUGGCUGCUGUCAUGAGUUUCCUUUUGUAUACACAAUAAUGGGGGGCUUUUUUAAAAAUGCUACUUGGUUCCUAAAAAUAUCACAUCUUAAGCCUUCUGUAUAUUUGAAAAGGAUUAAAACUAUUCAGUGAGCUAUAGGUAUAUUAUUUUAUACUAUGUGUAUGUACUCUCUACAUGAAAUAUUACAUAGGUAAUAGGCAGUCCAACUACCCUUACUUCAUAAAAUGAAUACCUUACUUUCUCCUACAUCUUAAUCCCACUCACUAAAUUCCCCGUUCUCAUCCCUUACAAACAGCUCUGAAAGAACUCCAUUGGGAAGACAUCCAAUCUCAUUUAGAGUCUCGUCUUCAGCACCUCUAGCCUUCUCUGUAGCUUAGGAAUUGUGGCCAGAGCCAGAACCAGAAGAGGUGGGUCCCUCCUACCUUUUUCUAUUAAGUAGUAGGCGGGGCUUAGAGAGAAACAGAAGGGAGCAAGAGGAUCCUCUCAGCUCUGAGGUUGUGUUCUCUCUGAUUCUGUUGAUCAGCCUCUGUGUGGUGGGCAUUCAAAACUGGUUUUUCCAUCUGGUACCUCUGUAAGGAUUUUGUUGGGGGCCUCCUUAGGACAUGUACUCUUCAGAAUACAAAGAGUCAAUCUGUCUUUGUCUUCUAGUGACCCUCAGUUGCUACCCUUGACAUUACCCCAUAACCUACUGAUUAGUAACUUCUGUGAGAAAAUAAACAUAAUAAUUUUAAUUGUUAUAGAGUUAACUAGUACUAGAAACUCAGCUCAAAUCUAGUUACUUUCCAUGGUGACCUCUUGACCCCUGGGAUGCCCACACAUCACCUUGCCACAAGAUGGUACAAGCUGUUUUCUCUCACUUCUGUUGGCCUCAUUAUCUCACUUCAGUCUACAUUCCCUUAUUCUCAAAGGCUCUAGAUCAGAGGCUGUCAACCUUCCUAAUGCCACAACCCUUUAACACAUCCCCUCAUGUUAUUAGAUCAGUGGUUCUUAACCUUCCUAAUGCUGCAACCCCUUUACACUAUCCCUCAUGUUGUAGUGACCCCCAAUCAUAAAAUUAUUCUUGUUGAUGGUUCAUAAUAGUAAUUUUGCUAACAUAAUAUAAACAUAACAACACACUUUUAAAGACAGAGGUUUGCCAAAGAGGUUGUGACCCACAUGUUGAAAACCGCUGCACUAGAGUGAGAUUAGCUUGUUAAGAAAUAAGACAUUCUCUUUUUUUUCAGUCCAUCUCUGUAGGUGGUCCUCAGAGCACCCCAUCUAUGAUUUCAAAAAAGUAACCAUUGUAGGCCAAAGUCAUAAGACUCUGACCACAUGACUGUUUCUCUUUGGCUUGUCAAAGUUUAAUGGUCUUGGGCAUGAGGAGUGAUUGAGUCUUAGAAGAUGAUUACGGGAAUCAUUAGAUUCUGAAAUUAGCACCCAGCCUCCAAUAUUCAAAAGAUAAGGUUUUUGGUGCCUCUUCAUCUUAGCUUUGGAGUAGAAAGUUGCCAACUGCUGUGCUAAAAUCAUAUAUAUAUAUAUUAAAGAAAGCCUGGUGUGGUAAGAAGAGCUGAAUUCCUGUCUCUACUAAUCAUUGUCAGCCAUCCAUGUUCAAAUUAUCUCACUGCACAAAAAUAAAUAAAUAAGGAACACCAGUUACUUUAUAAGUGAAUUUCAGACAUAUGUAUGCUAAGAACAUGAGAUUGCAUUACUUUUACUCAACAUUUAGCUUGCAUCUAUAGAAGAGCAUUAAGCAAAGAAUCAGUUGUGCAACUUUCUUAACUCUUGUUCAUAAUCCUCAUUUGUCACAUAUCAUGUGUGAAGUAAUAGAGCUACAGUGAAGAUUUAAUGUAAGCACAUAUGAGGAAGGCUUAACACAGAAUAAGCGUUCAACUAACACUAGCCAUCACUGUUAUUAUUAUCUCUGCAGUCUCAGACAAGUCAUUUUACUCAGAGUCUCCAACUCCUCACUUCUAACUGAUGAUAAUAAUAGAGUUCUGAAGAGUUUAUGAAAUAAUAUUAUCUGGAUACAAUUGAUAUUUUCUUUGAAAAUAUUACAUGUUAUCUAUGAAACAAAGGCAAUGAAACUUUCAAAUAAUUUUUUCUUCUUCAAUGCAUUAAUUGGUUAGGUAAGAAAGAAAAUAAAAAAAUGAUUCCUUGUCAACACAGAGUGUUCAAGUAUUUAAUAAAUAAAAUCAACAAUCAGCCUCAUUUUCUCCACGAGAUCACAAUUUCCACGGAGAAGAGACUUUUCUGCCAUAAUCAUCCUGAUUCUCAUCUGUUCCUCCAUGUGUUUGUCUUCUCAACACACACAUUUGGAAUACCUUCAGAUCACUUAAAAUUGAGAGGAAAUGACAAGACUCAAUGGAAAACCAUCAAACAAUCAUGAUGAAAUUUAAACACAGGAGUUACUUCUCAGCAUCUAAAAUGUAGAGAAGUUUCUUUCUUCCACAUCACCACUAAAUAUGAACAAUAGUCAUACCACAAAGAAAUUAACCCCACUCGGGAAAUUCCAAAUAUUAUACUCCUUUCCUGUUGAAUAAGGUAAAAUAUAUUUUAAAACUGAAUAUCUUUAAAUAAUCUAUUUAAUUGAUAUUCAUUAGUUUGUUGAAAAUACCUUGACUGCAACAGCCAGUGGAAAUUUAAAAGAAAUAUACAUGGAAGUUUCUGUUAUCUCAAUAUAUCACAAUUUUUAUUUUAUUUUAUUUGCAAUCCAAGUAGAAAACUAAAACAAACAGGCCAGCAAGGUGGUUCAGCUGGUAAAGGUGCUGGCCACCAAACCUGAGAGCUCCAGUUCAAUCCCCAGGAUCUCAUGGUAGAAGGAAAGUGCUGACCCCUGCAAGUUGAACUCUGACCUCCAUGUGUGUCAUUUGACAUACACAUACACUCACACAGACAGAGAGAUGAGACACACACACACACACACACACACACACACACACACACACACACACUUUUAAAAAUCUGAAACAAACUCUAUAACAUCUGCCUGUAAGAAAAAAAAUGUAGAAACCCCUAUGGGCCAGCCUGGGUCCUCACAGUCCAGGCUGGCUAAAAGCAUCCACAGGCCCACCCAGCACACUGCAUCACUGGAUGGGAAGGUGUCAUUGUGAUGAGCAAAUAUAUUAGGUGGAGAAAUAGGAGAGAAAGAGAAGCAGAAUGGUUCAUGUGCUGUGGAAAGAAGCAGAACUGAAGAAUCAAAGGUGGUGAGGAAUAGGCUGAUGAGGGUGGCCUGCUUGCCACCUGGGCCCAGGCUGUUACCUAGGGCCAUGUCUGGAUCCAUGGUCCUACCACAGUGAGGGUAGGCUGUGUUGAUGUCUGUGGUUCCUGAUACCGUCAAAGGCCAUGUAGAUGCCCAGGGUCUAGAACACCACCUGGGGCCAUGUUGGUGUCUGAGGUCCAUGCUGCUGCUGGGGCCAUGCCUACCUAAGUGGCCUGUGCUGCCACCUGUGGCCAUGGUGACAUCCAGGCCUGGGCUACCGCUGAGGACCACAUCUGAGUCCAUGGCUCUGCAUCAGCCAAGGUCUAAGUUGAUGUCCAUGACUCCUGUUACCACUGAGGACUGUCCAGAGGACAUAGAGAGUAAACAGGAGGCAUAGACAGAAGAGAGGUACAAAGCCAUAAGGCAAAAUGUAGAUUAAUAUAAUGGGUUAGUUUAAGUUAUAAAAGCUAGUGGAACAAGCCUAAGCUAUUGGCCAAGCUUUCAUAAUUAAUAAUAAGUCUUUAUGUUGCUUUUUGUGAGCUGGCAGUCCAAAGAAAAAUUUGUCUCAAAGGGACAUGCUGAAGCCAGGGCCAUACUGAUCUGGGUGGCCUGCACUGCCACUGGGCCAUGGUGAUAUCCAGGUCAGAGCUGCCGCUGAGGGCCAUGUCUGGGUCUAUGGUCCUGCUUCAGCUGAUGUCUGUGUUGAAAUCCAUGGCCCAUGUCAUCACAGGGGUCCAUAGGAACAAUGCAUGUUGAAAUCUGAGGACCAUGCUGAGCACACCCCGACCACCAUUGGCCCUGGGAUAUCUGGCCCUGCCCCUCACUUCAUAUUGCAACAAGAGAGAUGGCCCCUGCACCUGGGAAAAUUGGCCCUACCCCUCACCAUGGGAGUGGGACAGCUGACCCUGAUGGCACGGGCCUAGGAGAGCUGGCUCCACCCCUCGCCUGAGGGGGCCAUCACAGUGGUCCAGACUGACCAGCUCAGCUACCACCCAGACCGACAUCCUGGACCUUGGGUUGGCCCACCCUAACAUUUACCAUACUAAUAACCUGCUGGAACACAUGAAGGAACUGGUUUUGUGGAACAAUAGCUGCAGGAUCUCCAUGACUCAGGGCAACAGUAGGAUAUAUCUGAGAGGAGUUUUGGUGAGGGUCCAGCGAUGGUGUGUCAGAGAUCAGAGGCCUUGAACCAGACCAAUAACUCUCUGCAAUGAACAUUGUGGGUGGGGCUGAUUGGACAAAAGGGUAUACUGUGUUACACACUGAAGCUCGCCAUACCACUAGGAAAAAUGAAGAGGUGUUGGAGAGAUGGGAAAGAUGAUGGUUUCUUUGAUUGUUUUGUUUUUCAAUAAAUUUGGAGGGGCGUUCUUUUGGGGGAGAUGUUGCAGGGGUGAGGAGUGGAUAUCAAAGGACUUGGAGAUAAGUGAGAUUGGGGUACAUGAUGUGAAAUUCUCAAAGAAUCAAUAAAGAAUUAUAUGUACAUAUAUGAAAUAAAAUGUAUUUGCCUGCUUAAAGCAUUUACACUCAUAAAUAUUUGUGAUUAUUACUCUUUGAAGUGGGAAAUGAUCUUGGGGACAGAAUUUGCAAGUGACUUAUCAGUCAAGGAAAAUAUGCAUGGAAAGCUGUUCUGUCCAUAUUUAUAUGGCCCUUUAUCAUGUGAGAACUUUC